rnacentral:rRNA from 1 species
GGACAACCUACCCUCGGGUGGGGGAUAACCCCGGGAAACUGGGGCUAAUCCCCCAUAGGGGAUGGGUACUGGAAUGUCCCAUCUCCGAAAGCGCUUAGCGCCCGAGGAUGGGUCUGCGGCGGAUUAGGUUGUUGGUGGGGUAACGGCCCACCAAGCCGAAGAUCCGUACGGGCCAUGAGAGUGGGAGCCCGGAGAUGGACCCUGAGACACGGGUCCAGGCCCUACGGGGCGCAGCAGGCGCGAAACCUCCGCAAUGCGGGAAACCGCGACGGGGUCGGCCGGAGUGCUCGCGCAUCGCGCGGGCUGUCGGGGUGCCUAAAAAGCACCCCAUAGCAAGGGCAGGGCAAGGCCGGUGGCAGCCGCCGCGGUAAUACCGGCGGCCCGAGUGGCGGCCACUUUUAUUGGGCCUAAAGCGUCCGUAGCCGGGCUGGUAAGUCCUCCGGGAAAUCUGGUCGCUUAACGAUCAGACUGCCGGAGGAUACUGCCAGCCUAGGGACCGGGAGAGGCCGGGGGUAUUCCCGGGGUAGGGGUGAAAUCCUGUAAUCCCGGGAGGACCACCUGUGGCGAAGGCGCCCGGCUGGAACGGGUCCGACGGUGAGGGACGAAGGCCAGGGGAGCGAACCGGAUUAGAUACCCGGGUAGUCCUGGCUGUAAACGAUGCGGACUAGGUGUCACCGAAGCUACGAGCUUCGGUGGUGCCGGAGGGAAGCCGUUA